rnacentral:lncRNA from 1 species
AUGAGGUUGACAUUUGGAAUUUUGAGUUUUCUCGAUUUCUCUUGCAGAUGCCAGUGCAACUGGAGCCGAAAAGCUGAGAGCUUAUUACACAGAAACAGCGUAUACAGAAACCGCUACAGAACAGCUUUCAUGUCGCUACAACUGUGGUUACGACAUGGGAAGCUGCUCCUGCACAAGCCACUGUGNNNNNNNNNNAAUACUAUGGCAACUGUUGCUAUGACUACAGCUCUUAUUGCCAGACGACAACCGGUGAACCUGCAACUGCUCAGCCUUCUUGUCGCUACAACUGUGGCAGUCACUUAGGAAGCUGCUCCUGUUCCAGCUCUUGCCAAUACUAUGGCAACUGUUGCUAUGACUACAGCUGUAAGCACCAAUUUACUAUCACUGUUUUUUCCAGCAGCAGUGUUCACAUAGAAUUCAGUGGUACCAUGUCAUCUAAAUGUCAAAAUAAACACCUGAUAAGAAAAUGUUGAUUUCUUGUAUCUGUCAUACAGGGCAAUGUUCAUCUACCACGGAUAUUCCUGCCACAAGUAUGACAUUCUCUUAACUAUAUGUUUGUGUUUCUACAGAAAAGCACUCAAUCAUUUAGUCUAAGUCUUAAUAUCUUUGUGUUGUGACAGCUCAGUCUUCAUGUCAGUACAACUGUGGUAGUUACCAGGGAAGCUGCUCCUGCAGCAGUUCCUGCGAAUACCAUGGCAACUGUUGCGAUGAUUAUUACUGUGAGUAUUUUGUCUCUCAAAGCCCUUUAACACAUAACAGAUCACACUACAAAGACUCAUAAUGUCCUUUUCCAUCAUUUUGCUUAAGACUGUUAUUUACAAAGGCAAUUCUUUUUCUCUCUGAGGCUUGGGGCUUUUUUUUACUGCGAGAUGCAGCAUGAAGAAAAGAAAAUAGUUUGCAAUUGCAUUCUGUUUGUAAUAUUUAAACUAUCAUAUUUUACUAUCAUACUUAAAUGUAUAUUUUGCAUUGAAGUUGGGGGACUAAAUUAGAUGAUUCUGAAAUUUAUUUUUAAUAAAGCAACUUAAUUUGAACUGUUUGGUCAGAACAAACAUUUUUGGUUCUUGGUGAACACCUAAAGUUUCUUAAAAAAAUACAAAAUUGAAAAAACACCCCACUACCAUUGACACUGGAUAUGGCACACUCUAAUAGCUUUAUAUUUAACCACAAAAUUACUCCUCUGUAACUAUCAAUGUGUAAAAUCAUAGUGAAUUUUCUCUUUGCAUGUUUUUAUCCAUACAUUUUCGAUACUUAAUUCAUCCUCUUUUGGGUAACAGAGUUGUUGGAGCCUGGCCGAGCCACUGGUGGGCAAAGUUUUUAUUCUUAAAAAAAUUGCUAAAUAAACUGCUCCCCUUUAAG